CGCAGCCGUAGCAGCCAUGACAACCUUGUUCCAAGCAUACGAGGAGGAGUACCGCGACGGUGUGCGGACCAUUCGCGAUGAGUCGGAGGCGCUGCGCCACUCGUGCGACCGCAAGGCGGUUGGGUACAAGGCACCCCCUGCCACCGGCCCCGGAAGCCGUGUGCAGCGUGGUGCUCACUUGACGACUGUUUUGGCGCAGGUGCGGGAGCUGGUGAACAGCAUGGAGUACGAGGCCAAUGAUCUCCCCGCGGCGCACAGGCAGACAGCUAAGGAGCGCAUUGCCGAGUACCGCACGAACCUGCGCACUUUAGAGGAGGGAAUCGCACACCUCAAGACGGACGCCAGCGCUGCGGAUCGACUCGACCUGCUGGGUGACAUCGAAAGGAGAAAGACAGGUGCAGGUGGCGCCAACGAAGCGAAGGACCCUGGGGCCCUUGAUGACGCGACGAAAGCGCACCGAAUGGCGAUGCUGGACAACACGGCGAAGUUCAAGGACGCCUCUGGCAAGCUACUGCAGGCCGAGCGCCUCUUGAACGACACGGAGACGGUGGGCAACGAGGCCCUCACGAGCCUGCGCUACCAGACAGAGACGAUGCAGCACAUUCAGGAAACGACGAUCGCGGUCGACGAGGAGGUGUCGGAUGCACGCAAGAUUAUUAGCGGCAUGCAGAAGGUGAUGAUUAAGCACAAGCUCAUUCUCACAGCCAUCAUCAUCGUUCUUCUCUCUCUGAUUUUCGUGGCCAUCUAUGUCAGCGUCGCGAAGAAUCAUCGCAACUCGUCGUCCAAAUCGACGGAAGCCACUGGCGAACCCAUCACAUCGGUGGCACCGUCGUCGUUGUGGUUGUCCAGCAAGCUAAAACAGUAGAUGGAUGAAGCUGAGGCCCCGCUGUCAAGACAGGAACUCGAAGAGGGUGGGGAGCAAGGAACCAACGCACGUGGGACAGAGACGGCGCACCUUGUGCAAGUGCGUCUGCGCAAGACGCGAAUCUGUGGCGCUGUCGCACGCCACUGCUCACCGCGUCUCUCGUCGUUCCCCUCCCUACACUCUCUUUCUCAUCUGUGCUCCCUAUUGUGUCCGUGCGUUCGUGCGCUUCAUGACGGGCGCACGUCUGCGCAGGUGCUUACGUAUACAUAUGGGCGCGUGCUGGCGCUGACGAUGCUGUCGCGGAUGCAACCACUCAUGCACGGGUGCUGCAGUCUCGUCCUGAAGCCGCGUGCUUUCUCUCGUGGAAUGGCCACUGCUGCCGUGGGUGUGGUGCCUCUCCUCCCUGCCACUUCUUUCUUUCGUGGCUUCGUAUGUGCCUUUCUCUGUUUGGGCGUGUCUGGGACGUCUUGCUGUUCUUUGCUCUUGUGGCUGUACG
rnacentral:misc_RNA from 1 species